AAGUCGUAACAAGGUCUCCGUUGGUGAACCAGCGGAGGGAUCAUUACAGAGUUAUUAUACUCCAAACCCAUGUGAACUUACCACUUGUUGCCUCGGCGGGGUUACCCUGUAGCUACCCUGUAGCACCGCCGGUGGACUUCUAAACUCGUUAUUUUUGAGUCAUCUGAGCGUCUUAUAUAAAUAAGUCAAAACCUUUAACAACGGAUCUCUUGGUUCUG
rnacentral:misc_RNA from 1 species